GCGUGGGGCGUCUGCUGGCACUUAGUUCUGUCCGAGGCACGUUCAUCAGCUGGUAUCAUGGUUCACGAAGUGAAAGAUCUGGAGAUGUCACAGGAGUCUGUCAACGCAAACGUGAUUUUCCUGAAGGUGGAUGCGACUGAUGGCAGGGAUGUGAAGUCAUUCUAUAAUGUCACCCGCAUGCCUGCAUUUCACUUUUACAAGAAUAACCAGAAGGUGUAUGAGUUCACCGGUGCUGAUGAAGCUCAACUACAUCAAAAAGUGAGAGAGCUCAGAUGAGAUGUCCCACCAAAAACAAAAUCUGCCUCACAUUAUCUUCGGUAUUACUGUGUUACUCAUGACAAUGAAGUCUAUCCCACACAGUCAAUAAUAUAUCCACAUAUCUUGUAACAGGUUAAUGUCCCCGUCUUAACAACAGGCUGCAAUAUGAAACCGCUCAAUACUUUUAAUUCUGUUUUUAAUGACAGUUUGGCUGUGAUCCUGAAUUACUUUGUAUGGUUUGUGUUCAAAAAGUUUAAUAAAUGAAUUAUGAAUGGA